GCCUGGGUGGCUCAGUCAGUUGAGCGUCCGACUUCGGCCCAGGUCACGAUCUCACAGUUUGUGGGUUCAAGCCCCACGUCGGGCU
rnacentral:tRNA from 1 species